GGAGGAUCAUUAUCGUAGGGCUUCGGCCCUGUCGAGAUAGAACCCUUGCCUUUUUGAGUACCUUUCGUUUCCUCGGCAGGCUCGCCUGCCAAUGGGGACCACAAAAAACACUUUGCAGUACCUGUAACAGUCUGAACAAACAAACAAAAAUUAAAACUUUCAACAACGGAUCUCUUGGUUCUGGCAUCGAUGAAGAACGCAGCGAAAUGCGAUAAGUAGUGUGAAUUGCAGAAUUCAGUGAAUCAUCGAAUCUUUGAACGCACAUUGCGCCCUUUGGUAUUCCUUAGGGCAUGCCUGUUCGAGCGUCAUUUAAACCUUCAAGCUAAGCUUGGUGUUGGGUGACUGUCCGCUUCACGGCGGACUCGCCUCAAAAUUAUUGGCGGCCGGUACAUUGGCUUCGAGCGCAGCAGAAACGCGAACUCGGGCCCGUCGUAUUGGCUCCCAGAAGCUAUCUUCACAAUUUUGACCUCGGAUCAGGUAGGGAUACCCGCUGAACUUAAGCAUAUCAAUAAGCGGAGGA
rnacentral:rRNA from 1 species